AACGAACGCUGGCGGCACGUUUUAAGCAUGCAAGUCGAAUGGCAGUGGGGGCAACCCCAUGAGAAUGGCGAACGGGUGAGUAACACGUAGGUGAUCUGCCUGACGGAUGGGGAUAGCUUGUGGAAACACAGGGUAAUACCGAAUGAGCUGACGAGACUUUGGUUUUGUUAGUAAAGGUGCUACGGCACCGCCGACAGAGGAGCCUGCGGCUGAUUAGCUAGUUGGUGGGGUAAAGGCCUACCAAGGCGACGAUCAGUAGCCGGCCUGCGAGGGGGGACGGGCACACUGGAACUGGGACACGGUCCAGACUCCUACGGGAGGCAGCAGCUAAGAAUCUUCCGCAAUGGGCGAAAGCCUGACGGAGCGAUGCCGCGUGAUCGAUGAAGGUCGAGAGAUUGUAAAGAUCUUUUCUACAUGAGGAAUAAGUCUGGGAGGGAAUGCCUGGAUGAUGACGUUAGUGUAGGAAUAAGCCCCGGCUAAUUACGUGCCAGCCGCCGCCGUAA
rnacentral:rRNA from 1 species